AUAAACGACUCUCGGCAACGGAUAUCUCGGCUCACGCAUCGAUGAAGAACGUAGCAAAAUGCGAUACUUGGUGUGAAUUGCAGAAUCCCGUGUACCAUCGAGUUUUUGAACGCAAGUUGCGCCCGAAGCCAUUCGGCCGAGGGCACGUCUGCCUGGGCGUCACG
rnacentral:rRNA from 1 species